rnacentral:lncRNA from 1 species
GCUCUGUCACCCAGGCUGGAGUGCAGUGGUGUGAUCUCGGCUCACUGCAACCUCCACCUCCCAGGUUCAAGUGAUUCUCCUGCCUCCCUCUCAAAUACCUGGGAUUACAGGUGCCCACCACCACGCCUGGCUAAUUUUUGUAGUUUUAGUAGAGAUGUGGUUUCAUCAUGUUGGCCAGGCUGGUCUUGAACUGCUGACCUCAAGUUAUCUGCCUACCUUUGCCUCCCAACGUGCUGGGAGGGCGUGAGCCACGGUGCCCAGCCUUUUAUUUUUUAUUUUUAUUUUUAAUCUGUCUUGAUUUUGCUUCCUUCCUAAACAGUUUUGGCUUCGUGAUCACGUAAACCAAGAGUCACAAACUGAAAUGCCAUCAAGGGGCCAAGCAGGCUUAAAACCUCUCAAAGGUUCUUCACCCCCUCAAGGCUGCAGCACACACCUCCCAGCACAGCUCUGCAAGUUGACCCCGCCCUUCUUCUCCAUCGGUGGUUCUCAGAGUGUAGCCCUCCGAGCAGCAGCACUCUGACCCGCUCCAUCAAGAUCUCUAGGCUUGGAGCUUGCGAGACUAUGUAAACAAGGCCAGUUUUUUGUUCGUUUGUUUGUUUUUUGGAGACAGAGUCUCGCUGUGUCACUCAGGCUGGAGUGCAGUGGCUUGAUCUUGGCUUACUCCAUCUCCACCUCCCAGGUUGAAGUGAUUCUCCCGCCUCAACCUCCUGAGCAGCUGGGACUAUAGGUGUGCACCACCACACCCAGCUAAUUUUUGCAUUUUUAGUAGAAAUGGGGUUUCAGGCCGGGCGCGGUGGCUCACGCCUGUAAUCCC